UCCAGAAAAUGAAGUCUUGGUCAUCUUAUCCAUGAGACAAGAUUCAUAAGUUCUCGAUGAUUUAUAAUCAUAUGGGUCAAAGAAUUCUUCUUUGUAUAACUUGUUUAUCCUUGACUCACUAAUAUAAUCAAGACGAUAAUGUUAGAGAUAUGUGAUAUUCACAUCUUCUCUCUUUCUUUUUAUAUUUUUUUAAUAUAAAAAAUAUUUUUAUUGAG
rnacentral:lncRNA from 1 species